rnacentral:rRNA from 1 species
UACGUAGGGGCCAAGCGUUGUCCGGAAUUAUUGGGCGUAAAGAGCUCGUAGGCGGUGUGUCGCGUCGGCCGUGAAAACCUGCAGCUUAACUGUGGGCUUGCGGUCGAUACGGGCAUCACUGGAGUUCGGCAGGGGAGACUGGAAUUCCUGGUGUAGCGGUGAAAUGCGCAGAUAUCAGGAGGAACACCGGUGGCGAAGGCGGGUCUCUGGGCCGAUACUGACGCUGAGGAGCGAAAGCGUGGGGAGCGAACAGG